rnacentral:lncRNA from 1 species
AUUGGUGACAGCAGACUUUCUUUUCAGCAAAGAAAGGAAGAAGCUUAUUUCCAUUCCAAGGCCUGCUGCACUGUUUAAACCUUCUGUUUGGUCCAAAACCCUGGCAAACUACCGAUCAUGGGUUGCUCCAGAGCUUCAUCGUGUGAACCACAGAAUAGCAGAGGUUGGAAGGAGUUCCUUCAACAGAGACACCAGGACAAUUUUAUAGGGUGGAAGAUGAGUGCCUGAUUGACCUCAAAGCCUGGGUAAGGACCCACCAGCACUGGGACACUAAGUUUAAGUUAUGAGGCUUCUGGAGAUCUUACAGGUAAGGGAGACUAACGAGCUGAAAUACUUAAAGUCAAAUACCCCCUAGCCAAAAGUGAGAUUUAUGGGAGUAUUCUCUGUGUUUUCUUCUUAAUUCUUGAACUUGUGCUUCACUUCCCUAUCUAAAUUGAUUUUCAAGAUGUCAUGUUAAAAUGUUUUCCUUCUGCCAAGUAUAAGGGAAAUAUUUCUUAGAUUAAUAUCUGUAAGUCCUUAAUAUGCUUGUUGCAGCUUGAAACAAGAAAACUAACUAACUGGCUAAAAUUCCAC